UACGGGGGGGGGCAAGCGUUGUUCGGAAUUACUGGGCGUAAAGGGCUCGUAGGCGGCCAACUAAGUCGGAUGUGAAAUCCCCAGGCUUAACCUGGGAACUGCAUCCGAUACUGGAUGGCUUGAAUCCGGGAGAGGGAUGCAGAAUUCCAGGUGUAGCGGUGAAAUGCGUAGAUAUCUGGAGGAAUACCGGUGGCGAAGGCGGCAUCCUGGACCGGCAUUGACGCUGAUGAGCGAAAAGCUAGGGGAGCAAACGGGG
rnacentral:rRNA from 1 species